AUGCUUUCUUGUCAUCUAAGGAGGGAGAGAUGCUUUCGUUGGCAAGAAUUUUUGAGGGGUUGGGAUUGUGGAGCAGGGCGGGGUUGUGGAGCAGGGUGGGGUUGUGGAGCAGGGUGGGGUUGUGGAACAGGGUGGGGUUGUGGAACAGGGUGGGAUUGUGGAACAGAGUGGGGUUGUGGAACAGGGUGGGGUGGUGGAGCAGGGUGGGAUUGUGGAGCAGGGUGGGAUUGUGGAACAGGGUGGGGUUGUGGAGCAGGGUGGGGUUGUGGAACAGGGUGGGGUUGUGGAACAGGGUGGGGUUGUGGAACAGGGUGGGAUUGUGGAGCAGGGUGGGAUUGUGGAGCAGGGUGGGAUUGUGGAGCAGGGCGGGGUUGUGGAACAGGGUGGGAUUGUGGAGCAGGGUGGGGUUGUGGAACAGGGUGGGAUUGUGGAACAGGGUGGGGUGGUGGAGCAGGGUGGGAUUGUGGAGCAGGGUGGGAUUGUGGAACAGGGUGGGGUUGUGGAGCAGGGUGGGGUUGUGGAACAGGGUGGGGUUGUGGAACAGGGUGGGGUUGUGGAACAGGGUGGGAUUGUGGAGCAGGGUGGGAUUGUGGAGCAGGGUGGGAUUGUGGAGCAGGGUGGGAUUGUGGAGCAGGGCGGGAUUGUGGAGCAGGGUGGGAUUGUGGAGCAGGGUGGGGUUGUGGAACAGGGUGGGGUUGUGGAACAGGGUGGGAUUGUGGAACAGGGUGGGAUUGUGGAACAGGGUGGGGUUGUGGAACAGGGUGGGGUGGUGGAGCAGGGUGGGAUUGUGGAGCAGGGUGGGAUUGUGGAACAGGGUGGGGUUGUGGAGCAGGGUGGGGUUGUGGAACAGGGUGGGGUUGUGGAACAGGGUGGGGUUGUGGAACAGGGUGGGAUUGUGGAGCAGGGUGGGAUUGUGGAGCAGGGUGGGAUUGUGGAGCAGGGUGGGAUUGUGGAGCAGGGUGGGGUUGUGGAACAGGGUGGGAUUGUGGAACAGGGUGGGAUUGUGGAACAGGGUGGGGUUGUGGAGUAGGGUGA
rnacentral:lncRNA from 1 species